GGAGGGUAGGGCGAAGUUUAGUUAGAAAAGGAUGGGCAAACGGGUGAAAGGAACCUGUAGGAGAAAGAUGCCAGCAAAAGCACUGCAUGUCAACAUUUAGCUUCGGGAAGACAGAGACUAUUGUCAGGACCCACAGGGCAGCUUCCGGAUCAUUGCCUCUCAUUCAACUAUCAUCUGAGAAGCUUCCUCUUACAACAGAUGGGAACUAACACAAAGACCCACAACUUGACAAUGUGCAAGGAGUGAGAGACUUUCAAACACUCAGCCCUCAAUGAGAGGUUUUAUAUCAACUUUGUCCCAUUAGGACUCAGAAAACAACGCAGAAGAAGAGGUUGAAAGAUUUUAAGAGCUGUUCAGGAUGGCGAACACCAAGGAAACAAUGUCUUCCAGACACAGUAGAGCUGAUGCACACAGGAAUUUACACAGAUAUGGCAGCAUGCACAGGGCCUUACAGGUUCAAGACAACAGGGUCUUAGCCCUUAGAAACAGAGUGAACAGAACACUCAUGCCUAACCAUGAAGCUGUCUCCAACUGACUGCUAUUUGCAAAACAAAAAUCAGUUUUCUCCAAUGGACUCUCACUGGGUAUACAGGGUAUACAAAACACAUUUGAAGGCAGGCCCCAUGCUUAGCAGUAGAUGGCCAAUGCCAAAUAAACUCAAUAAUGUUUUUGUAGAUUAUUUUGGAUCAUAUUGUUUUGUUUUUGGAAUUAAAAAAGUAUUACCAGUC